GACGGAGGGUGCUAGCGUUGUUCGGAAUCACUGGGCGUAAAGGGCGCGUAGGCGGCCUCAGGUGUCGGAUGUGAAAGCCCGGGGCUCAACCCCGGAGGUGCAUCCGAAACUCUGGGGCUGGAGGUCGGAAGAGGAGGGUGGAAUACCCAGUGUAGAGGUGAAAUUCGUAGAUAUUGGGUGGAACACCGGUGGCGAAAGCGGCUCUCUGGUCCGGACCUGACGCUGAGGCGCGAAGGCGUGGGGAGCAAACAGG
rnacentral:rRNA from 1 species